rnacentral:rRNA from 1 species
AAUUCGAUUAGAGUUUGAUCCUGGCUCAGAUUGAACGCUGGCGGCAUGCCUUACACAUGCAAGUCGAACGGUAACACGUCUUCUUGUGCUGACGAGUGAGGGACGGGCGAGUGAUACAUCCGACCGAGCCCGAUCGUGAGGGAUAACUAACCGAAAGCUUUGCUCAUACCUACUAAAAUCUCCGGAUGAAAGAAAGGGACCGAUCGCCUUGCCCCAACGUCUUGGACGAUGCCAUAUUAGAUAAUUGGUGGGAUGAAAGCUUACCUCACCGACGAUAUGAUCCUGAUCUGAUAUGACAACCUGACCUGCUGCGACGGAAAUGAGACCCAGACUCCUCUCCUACGGAAGGCUGGGGAGUUUCAUAUUGUGCGAUGAAGCCUGACCCGAUCCUGCCGUGCGCAGGAUGAGAGCCUUCCCUUUGUAAACUGCUUUUGUUUCGAACGAAAAGACUCGGGUUAAUACCUGGUGCCCAUGAGAUGACCGUACCAAUAUACACCGGAUAACUACAUGCCAUGACCCGCGGCAAUACAUAACGUGCGAGGCUUAAUCGGAUCUACUGUACUGAAAGCGAGCGCAGCGCGUUAUAUAUUCACAGAUGUGAAAUCCCUGCGCUCGACCUGAGCACUGCAUUUGGGGACUGUGACUGCUAGACUACGAGCACAGGGGAAUGGAAUUCCACGCGUCGUGUUGAAAUGCGUUAGAUAUGCGAAGGAACACCCAAUGCCAAA